rnacentral:tRNA from 1 species
GGCCGGUUAGCUCAGCUGGUUAGAGCGUGGUGCUAAUACAUUACGUAAUACGCCAAGGUCGUCGGUUCGAUCCCGGCAUUGGCCA